CGUCCAUAUAGCGUUAAAACAUCGGUUCCUAUACGAUCACCGAUCUUAAGCAACGUCGAGUCUGGUCAGUACCAAGAUGGUUGACCACAUGAGAAUACUAGGUGCUGUAAG